AAAGCAGAUUGCUAUUAUGGUAUUCCUUUUCUUGGAAAUAUUUCAACUAUCCUACUAAAACAGGCAUGCUGAUAAGUUUUUAUUUUGCCUUUAGGAGGUUAAAAUCAUGACAGAUUGACAAAACAACA
ensembl:snoRNA